ensembl:lncRNA
GUAUAUUCUUCAUCUGAAGAUGUUCUUCCAGUCUCUGAGUCCCCUGGACCAGGCUGUCCUCCUCUGAGUGCCCUCACAUCAGCAUGUGCCACCCUGCCUGUGAUUACCUGGUUCCUUGGGUCAUCAUGACCAACACGAGGAGCCAACCCUUUCCUGGAGCUGGGGCUAGAUCUGGGAAGAGGAAACAGCUUUGCCUUCCAGGAGGCUCACAGGUGACACAGACAAGAGGAGAGGCGAUGACUAGACUCUCAUCCUAACAACCUCCUUCACCAGACAGAGGCUCUGGAGGAGAGAGGAUCCCAGGUUCUUCACCUUGCAUCUUUAGCACCUAACCCAGAGCAAUACCGGGGAUCAAACUCAAGGCCUUGUGCUUGCCAGGCAGAUGCCAUGCCACUGAGCUAUGUCCCAGACCUGAAGAUUAUGUCUGAUUUUUAAUAUGGACAUUUUCACUCACCUGUGACUAGUAUCUACAGGAACCAGACUGAGACCCGCAGGUGGAGAAAUGGUGGGGACACAAGGAUCGAAGACUGUCAUUCACUCCUGUGUUCACUCACUUGCUCCAUGAUACUUCCUAAGCAUCCAGUGUGGACAGGACAUUGCUUCUCUGGAGA